rnacentral:rRNA from 1 species
GGUUAAGCGACUAAGCGUACACGGUGGAUGCCUAGGCAGUCAGAGGCGAUGAAGGACGUGCUAAUCUGCGAUAAGCGUCGGUAAGGUGAUAUGAACCGUUACAGCCGACGAUUUCCGAAUGGGGAAACCCAGUGCAAUCCGUUGCACUAUCGUUAAGUGAAUACAUAGCUUAACGAAGCGAACCAGGGGAACUGAAACAUCUAAGUACCCUGAGGAAAAGAAAUCAACCGAGAUUCCCCCAGUAGCGGCGAGCGAACGGGGAGCAGCCCAGAGUCUGAAUCAGCAUGUGUGUCAGUGGAAGCGUCUGGAAAGUCGCAGGGUACAGGGUGAUACUCCCGUACACGAAGAUGCAUGUGCUGUGAACUCGAAGAGUAGGGCGGGACACGUGGUAUCCUGUCUGAAUAUGGGGGGACCAUCCUCCAAGGCUAAAUACUCCUGACUGACCGAUAGUGAACCAGUACCGUGAGGGAAAGGCGAAAAG